AACGAACGCUGGCGGCAGGCUUAACACAUGCAAGUCGAACGGCUGUAGCAAUACAGCAGUGGCAGACGGGUGAGUAACACGUGGGAACCUUCCUAGGGGUACGGAACAACUCAGGGAAACUUGAGCUAAUACCGUAUACGUCCGUGAGGAGAAAGAUUUAUCGCCCUUAGACGGGCCCGCGUCGGAUUAGGUAGUUGGUGGGGUAACGGCCUACCAAGCCUACGAUCCGUAGCUGAUCUGAGAGGAUGAUCAGCCACACUGGGACUGAGACACGGCCCAGACUCCUACGGGAGGCAGCAGUGGGGAAUCUUGGACAAUGGGCGCAAGCCUGAUCCAGCCAUGCCGCGUGAGUGAAGAAGGCCUUAGGGUUGUAAAGCUCUUUUGCCAGGGACGAUAAUGACGGUACCUGGAGAAUAAGCCCCGGCAAACUUCGUGCCAGCCGCCGCGGUAA
rnacentral:rRNA from 1 species